rnacentral:rRNA from 1 species
AUUGAACGCUGGCGGCAGGCCUAACACAUGCAAGUCGAGCGGAUGGAGGGAGCUUGCUCCUGGAUUCAGCGGCGGACGGGUGAGUAAUGCCUAGGAAUCUGCCUGGUAGUGGGGGAUAACGUCCGGAAACGGGCGCUAAUACCGCAUACGUCCUGAGGGAGAAAGUGGGGGAUCUUCGGACCUCACGCUAUCAGAUGAGCCUAGGUCGGAUUAGCUAGUUGGUGGGGUAAAGGCCUACCAAGGCGACGAUCCGUAACUGGUCUGAGAGGAUGAUCAGUCACACUGGAACUGAGACACGGUCCAGACUCCUACGGGAGGCAGCAGUGGGGAAUAUUGGACAAUGGGCGAAAGCCUGAUCCAGCCAUGCCGCGUGUGUGAAGAAGGUCUUCGGAUUGUAAAGCACUUUAAGUUGGGAGGAAGGGCAGUAAGUUAAUACCCUGCUGUUUUGACGUUACCAACAGAAUAAGCACCGGCUAACUUCGUG